rnacentral:rRNA from 1 species
AGAGUUUGAUCCUGGCUCAGGACGAACGCUGGCGGCGUGCUUAACACAUGCAAGUCGAACGGAAAGGCCCUUUCGGGGGUACUCGAGUGGCGAACGGGUGAGUAACACGUGGGUGAUCUGCCCUGCACUUCGGGAUAAGCUUGGGAAACUGGGUCUAAUACCGGAUAGGACUACGGCCUGCAUGGGUUGUGGUGGAAAGCUUUUGCGGUGUGGGAUGGGCCCGCGGCCUAUCAGCUUGUUGGUGGGGUGAUGGCCUACCAAGGCGACGACGGGUAGCCGGCCUGAGAGGGUGUCCGGCCACACUGGGACUGAGAUACGGCCCAGACUCCUACGGGAGGCAGCAGUGGGGAAUAUUGCACAAUGGGCGCAAGCCUGAUGCAGCGACGCCGCGUGGGGGAUGACGGCCUUCGGGUUGUAAACCUCUUUCACCAUCGGCGAAGCCGGGAGCUUUUGUUUUCGGUGACGGUAGGUGGAGAAGAAGCAC